rnacentral:rRNA from 1 species
GCCCUAGUAACGGCGAGUGAAGCGGCAACAGCUCAAAUUUGAAAUCUGGCGCAAGCCCGAGUUGUAAUUUGUAGAGGAUGCUUCUAGGUAGCGACCGGUCUAAGUUCCUUGGAACAGGACGUCAUAGAGGGUGAGAAUCCCGUAUGUGACCGGCCCGCACCUUCUACGUAGCUCCUUCGACGAGUCGAGUUGUUUGGGAAUGCAGCUCUAAAUGGGAGGUAAAUUUCUUCUAAAGCUAAAUACCGGCCAGAGACCGAUAGCGCACAAGUAGAGUGAUCGAAAGAUGAAAAGCACUUUGGAAAGAGAGUUAAAAAGCACGUGAAAUUGUUGAAAGGGAAGCGCUUACAACCAGACUUCUGGGCGGUGUUCCGCCGGUCUUCUGACCGGUCUACUCGCCGUCCCGAGGCCAACAUCAUCUGGGACCGCUGGAUAAGACCUGAGGAAUGUAGCUCCCCUCGGGGAGUGUUAUAGCCUCUGGUGAUGCAGCGCGUCUCGGGUGAGGUCCGCGCUUCGGCAAGGAUGUUGGCGUAAUGGUUGUCAGCGGCCCGUCUUGAAACACGGACCAAGGAGUCUAACAUCUAUGCGAGUGUUCGGGUGUCAAACCCCUACGCGUAAUGAAAGUGAACGGAGGUGGGAAGGGUAACCUGCACCAUCGACCGAUCCUGAUGUCCUCGGAUGGAUUUGAGUAAGAGCAUAGCUGUUGGGACCCGAAAGAUGGUGAACUAUGCCUGAAUAGGGUGAAGCCAGAGGAAACUCUGGUGGAGGCUCGCAGCGGUUCUGACGUGCAAAUCGAUCGUCAAAUUUGGGUAUAGGGGCGAAA